GACGAACGCUGGCGGCGUGCCUAAUACAUGCAAGUCGAGCGGAGUUAUUUGGGAGCUUGCUCCUGAAUAACUUAGCGGCGGACGGGUGAGUAACACGUAGGUAACCUGCCUGUAAGCCUGGGAUAACUAACGGAAACGUUAGCUAAUACCGGAUACGCAAGUCUCUCGCAUGGGAGACUUGGGAAAGACGGAGCAAUCUGUCACUUAUGGAUGGGCCUGCGGCGCAUUAGCUAGUUGGUAGGGUAACGGCUUACCAAGGCGACGAUGCGUAGCCGACCUGAGAGGGUGAACGGCCACACUGGGACUGAGACACGGCCCAGACUCCUACGGGAGGCAGCAGUAGGGAAUCUUCCGCAAUGGACGCAAGUCUGACGGAGCAACGCCGCGUGAGUGAAGAAGGUUUUCGGAUCGUAAAGCUCUGUUGCCAGGGAAGAAUGUCUUGGAGAGUAACUGCUCUAAGAGUGACGGUACCUGAGAAGAAAGCCCCGGCUAACUACGUGCCAGCCGCCGCCGUAACAC
rnacentral:rRNA from 1 species